GAAUUUUAUAAAAAUUAUAAUUUAAUAAAUUUUAUUUUUAUUUAAUUGGGAGGAUUAUUAAAUUUAUUUAACUUUAAUAUAUUAAAAAUCAUAAAUUAAUGAAUUUUAAAAAUAAUAAAAUAAAUUAAUAUAGAAUUAAUUACCUUAGGGAUAACAGCAUAAAAUUAUUUUUUAGUUCAUAUAUAAAAUAAUAUUUGU
rnacentral:rRNA from 1 species